GAGACAACGCCAAAUUUGAAAAAUUAUCAUCAUGAACGAAAUCAAAAGAAUUCUUUGGCCUAAGCAAUUUUGGUUCAUGCCUUUUCCUAAACAAAAUCUCUUUCAAAGCACAGCUCAAUGAACACAAUUCAUGAAAAGGUUUGAGCAAAACGUUUUUCAACCACGUAAGAAUAUGUUUUCUCUUUGAAAUUCUCGGUUUCAAAACAUUUUCAUGAAGAGUAGAGGCAAUCAACUCAUGAUCCUUACAGUGCUUUUGGUUUAGACAGGAGAAUGACUGAGGAAACACCUUUGGUUCAUGGAGGAUCAGUUUUGGCUCAGGCCGAUUCUUUCUGGGGCAUGAAUCUCUUUUAGAAAUCUGGUACUCGCGGAUAGAUGGACUGAAGAACCUCCAGUUUGGAAAAUUCAUAACUUCUUCAUCCGUGAAGAUUUUCAUGCGAUUCCAAGCCUCAGUGAAUACCGUUUGAGUUGGCUUUCUGGGAAAAUUUGAUUCAUGACAAAAGGCCUUCGGAAUGUUGAGAUAUCCUCCUUGGACUGAACCUCUAUCGCUGGUAUCAAGGUAGCCGGUUUCAACAAAGCUUCUCCAAAACUCAGACUGUUGGGCACGGUCAAUGCUUUCAAUUCUUAGAGGCUGAACCUGUCUUUCCUGUAUACUCAAAAUAAACACUAAAAGACCAGGAUCAAAUAUGCAAGAUAAAUAUUUGUUCAAAUCACAAAUCAAGAUAUCUUUUCCAAGAACAAAUUGCACAUUUUUCAGCCUGUCAAGGUGCUCAUCAAAGUAGAUAUUACAGACAAGAAUUUUAUCAAGAUAUGCAACAACAGUAUUCAUUUUCAAGAUGGGCAUAUCCUUCCCAACAUCUGAACACACAAGCUUAAGUUCAGUUUGAGAAUCAUUUAUCAAAAGUUCAAGGCAUUUUUCAAAGAAUGUGUUGUAAACCAAAAUAUCAUCAGAACUCAAGACAACACCAUUAUCACGAAAUGAUCUCAGAAAAUACCAAGUCUUAUCAGUUUCAAAACUUAAGAGAUCAGGCUGCAAAACAGAACCACAAAAUUCAAGAUCACGAAAAUCAUUUUCAGUUUUAAGUGAUUUCUGUUCCAGCAACUUCUGAAUCAAAAUUUCGUCCAAGGCAUAAGAGGAUGCAAACAAUUCAUCAGUGAUCAGUACAUGUCUAGAAGAACUCAGAUCAAAGCCAUUUCCUUUGCAAACAAACAAAUCAAGAGAUUUUUCAGCACAAAAAUCAGUUUGUUGCAAAUCAAGAUCAAAUGGCCUUCCAAGAAGAUGAAAACCUUUGUUAUGUUCCAAGAACUGAUCAAAGCUCAAAAUAAUUCCAGAAGUGAUGCCAUUGACACUUUGAAAACGUGAUUGAUCAAGACAUUUAUCAGGUUCAAAGAUUUUUAAAGAAUUAAUCAUGUUAUCAAAAACAGAUUUUGAAACAAAAAAAUCUUUCAUCUUGUCAAGACCAAAACGAAUUACAUCAUCAGUACUGACUUUCACAAACAUGUCAGGCAGAGAAUUAAGAGAAGAAGGUUCCUCACAGUGCUCUUGAAGAUCCGGAGGUAAAGGGGCAGGAGUUGUGCCGGGAUCAAAGCAUAGAUAAUUCUCCAUAGCAAUGGAUGUGAUGCUUGUUGCUUCUUCAUCAAAGACUGGACCAGGUUCGUCCUCCUCAUCAAAGAUAGGACCUAGAUCAUCAUCCAAACAUAUCCUAGUGUCAAGACAUGGGCACUGAUGUGGAAAAUCCAGUGGCUCUUCCUCAAAAACCUGUGGAGACAAAACAAGACUACUCGGAAGCUCCGGUUGCAAAACAGUUAGUUCUACAAUAGCUUGUUCAUUAUCAAGAUUAAACUCAGUUUCAAGAGAAGGAAGAUCACAAUCUUUUUCACAAAACAUCAAGCUUUCAAUUAGCUCUUCAUCAGAUUCAUCAAAAAUGGGUAGAGAAUCUGAAAAAUCUUUAAGUUCUUCAAAAUGGUUUUCAGAUUCACCUUGGGCUUUCUUACUGAUGAACAAGGAUGGCUCAGCUACUGGGGCACGUGUAGAUGUGCUCUUCUUUUGGCUCUUGCUGAAGUCCUUAAGGGCUUUGUCCACUCCCUUCACAAGGUUAUCACAAAUUUGUUGGACAUCAAUUUGAAAGGGUUGCCUUUUUGGAUCAGCCACAUCUCUGGUUGUUUUUCUCCUUACAGCUGGCUGUUCCUGCACACUAACAAACUCAUCAAAAUAAUUCAAACGAUAUUUAAAAGGAGUUUGAGAGUUAGAAUUUCGUUGAGGCUUCUCCUUGUUACUUUUCCUUUGCAAACCAAACAUCAUAAACCUGAAAAAUCUCAACACAAAAGUUAGUAGAUAAAAACCUCACACUCUCAAGUGUUUGAUCCUCACCCACACAAGUGUUUCUCUCAGAUUUAGGUGAUCACACACAAGUUUUUACUCAAUGUUCUAAGAGAACAAAUCAAAGAAUCCCAAUGGGCAAAUCCAAGCAAACAAGGGAAUUUUCUCAAGAUAGAAAGAUAAGAGAUUUUUGAUUUUUGAAAUCCGUUUUAACCACCUCAAAGGCUGGAUUUCUCCUCAGCCAGCAGGCUUUCUCUUCCACCACCAAUCCACAAAACAAACUUUGAACUUUUUUUUUUUUUUUUUUUUUUUGAAUCAAAUCGUAAAUCUUUUUUAUAUAUAUAUAUAUAUGGAUGGUAAUGAGGGGGCCGGAUUUAAGAAAGGUAGAAGAAGAAGUGUUUGAAGAAGAUGGAGAGAUGAGAAGAUGGAAUGAUAAUAGAGUUACCGAGAGAGUGGCUCUGAUACCACUUGAUAAAACCAAAAUAAGGAUCAUUCUUUCGGUAAGGUUGAUAUGAACUCAUAUCCGAGAGGAUUGAGAACUGAUGGAUCGAGGGGUGACACUAAGGGUUGGGAAUAGCCCAAAGAUACUACCAGACUUCGAUCGUCGCCGGAUGUGACGCACCGGUCCAACAAAAGAAGGAUCGAAACUUGGAGAUAACCUCACCAAGAAACUAAGAACAAGUUCUACAAAGAACAAAGAGUUUUAACUCAACAAAAGGGGAAAACAAUCUGUCUUAUUUUGUGGCUCUAAGGCCUUAUUUAUAGGAUUACAAGUUGUAGAAAUCCAAAGAAGAAUGUGCUAAAAACAAGACAUAGAAACUAGAAAUGAAAACUUUGACUAAAGACCGAAAUUAAUGAUUUUUGUUGAAUUCUUUUUCCCAUGCACGACCAAGACUUCCUUGCUGACUCCCUCUUGGUAUUCUUGAUGAGAAUGUGCUUGAAAUGGACUGAGGAAAGGGCUGGUCGAAUUUGGAAAGAAACAAUCCCAUAAUGAACUUUUUAUGAACUUUUCUUUGGGCUGAAAAGGCCCAUUUCGCCCAGCAGCUGAACCAGCUCCAUCUUCAGUGUUAAUUGGCUCAUUCAGUUCCAAGCUAGUGUCAUUUAGCUCACUCAGCUCAUCCAGCUCCAAAGUAGUGUCACUUAGCUCACUCAGCUCAUCUAGCUCGCCCAAGUAAGUGUCACCUCGUCCAGCUCGUCCAAAGUGGAUUCUAGCUCGACAAUAUGUCUUCAAAUGUGAAGUUGGACGGGAAAGACAAGCCCCAGUAUGGUCAGAUCGGUCAUCUGGCCAUGGUUCCAGCCAAAGCUCCUUUCCGGACGUAUGCGGGACGGUCCAGUACACUGCACGGUCAGUCUGUCCGGUACGGUGAAAAACAUGAACCUCGGUUGAAAUGUUCAGAACGUUCUGAUCUCCAGGCUGGUUCGGCUCCAUGUACUGAUCCGUGGACCGCGGUCUAUCAACGGAGGUCCUGUGUGUACUGACGGACGUCCUGUGUGUGCUGACGGACGGCCACGGACGUCCUGUGUGUACUGUAGGACGGCCACGGACGUCCUUUGUGUGCUGACGGACGUCCUGUGUGUACUGACGGACACACGGACACACACGGACAGCCACGGACGUCCUGCGUGUGCUGACGGACGUCCUGUGUGUGCUGACGGACGGCCACGGACGUCCUGUGUGUACUGACGGACGUCCUGUGUGUACUGACGGACACACGGACACACACGGACAGCCACGGACGUCCUGCGUGUGCUGACGGACGUCCUGUGUGUGAUGACGGACACACACGGACGUCCUGUGUGUACUGAACAGACAGCCCACGUGGGCCAAAAUCACCCACGGACAGCCAAAAUCACCCGAGAAGCCAAAAAUGCAAAAAUUAAUAUUUUUGAAGAAAGUUUUCUGAAAGGAAACAUCAAAAAUAUGUCAACAAAGAGUUUAGGAUGUCAAGUGUUGAUCAAAAGUUGCUGUAGACAUCCGUUUAGACCACGAAAGUCCGCCCUUUGUAGCAUGCAAAAGACAUGGUUAGAAGCAAAAGAAAUUUAUGAAAAUUUACCAAAAAAUAGCUUUAACCAUCCUUAUGAAGAAUGCAAAAAAUCAGAUUCAAAUUCGAAGUAUUUUUUUUUUACAUUAAAAAUACUCCCCGGAACACAACCAAUGUCUACUGGUGACAGACUGAAAAAAAGCGUUUUGUAUAUAUAAGGGGUAGGCACUCUCUUGAGCCUCCUACCCCCCAGUACCCGAACGGUUCGGGUAUGUAGUGUUGGAAUGUUCGGUCCAACACUAUCGAGGGCUGGGUUGAGGUCGAUGGCCGGAUUGUCCCCGGUGAAUUUUCCGGGAACUUUUCUGGCGAAUUUUCCGGUGGACCGUUUUGCCCCUAACUUCAAAUUUUCGCGCUUGCAUGGUCUUGGCCUGGUUUCAUCCGUCUUCCAGUUGCUUUUUUUAUUACAUCCCAAGAGUGGUUGGAAAGAUUGAUGUUAGCGGGGCAAAUGAACAUUCGGCGUAUGAGUGGUGAUUGGAUAGCUAGUGUUUGUAGGCUCUGUGCUCGCACACCCAACUACAGACCAACUAUCCUCCUCAGUUUCUUCACUAGCAUAGUUUUAUGCUUGUUGAACUGAUCCGGGGCCUGUGUUGCGUACCUAUCUGGAAGGAAUUGUUAAGCUUUUGCUUAAAAUGUUGUUUCCA
rnacentral:lncRNA from 1 species